GCGCCUAUCGCCUAACGGAUAAGGCACCAGUCUUGGGAACUGAAUGUUGGAGGUUCGACUCCUCCUGGACGCA
rnacentral:tRNA from 1 species